AGAGUUUGAUUAUGGCUCAGGAUGAACGCUGGCGGUGUGCCUAAUACAUGCAAGUCGAACGAGGAGCCACUUUACUUGUAUUCGUACUCGUAAAGAGGAUUUCCUAGUGGCGAACGGGUGAGUAUCGCGUUGGUGACCUGCCCCAAAGAGAGGAAUAACAGUUUGAAAAGACUGCUAAUACCUCAUGUUGUCAUGGUUUUUAGAAACCCAUGUCUAAAGGAGACUUGUCUUCACUUUGGGAGGGACCUGCGUCCCAUCAGCUAGUUGGUAAGGUAAUGGCUUACCAAGGCUACGACGGGUAGGGGACCUGAGAGGGUGGCCCCCCACAAUGGAACUGAAACACGGUCCAUACACCUACGGGUGGCAGCAGUAGGGAAUAUUGCACAAUGGGCGAAAGCCUGAUGCAGCAACACCGCGUGUGCGAUGAAGGCCUUCGGGUCGUAAAGCACUUUUUGAGAGGAUGAGAAAGGACAGUACUCUCAGAAUAAGUCUCGGCUAACUACGUGCCAGCAGCCGCGGUAACACGUAGGAGGCAAGCGUUAUCCGGAUUUACUGGGCGUAAAGCGCGUGCAGGUGGUCAAGUAAGUUGGAUGUGAAAUCUCCCGGCUCAACUGGGUGAGGUCGUUCAAAACUGCUAGACUAGAGGACGGUAGAGGAAAGUGGAAUUCCCGGUGUAGUGGUGAAAUGCGUAGAUAUCGGGAGGAACACCAGUGGCGAAAGCGACUUUCUGGCCCGUUCCUGACACUAAGACGCGAAAGCUAGGGUAGCAAACGGGAUUAGAGACCCCGGUAGUCCUAGCCGUAAACGAUGUCAACUAGGCGUUGGUGGGUU
rnacentral:rRNA from 1 species